GGGAGGGACUGCUUAAUUUGCUGAAGUUAGCCUGCUUUCUCCCUGUCUGGCUUCAGCUGCCCAACUACGAUUGGAGUUAUCUGGAUUUGCCAUCAGACAAUGCCUGCCCUAUGCAAGAGCCAUCAAGCCCAAAAGGAAGGAGAAUGGAUGAGAAGAAUUAAAGACACGCUGUGGCUGAGCCAAGAGAGAACUUCCCCUUGAUGUAAUCAGCAAAUAAGAAAGUUUAGAUGUGUGACUAUGGACAUCUAUCUCUUUGGACAUCAAAAUGUUUUCUACAAGAAAGUACCAGACACCUGUUCAGUAAGACCCAGCCCACUGUUUGAUGCAGCUUUGAGCAGCUAGAGGAGGAAGAGUUUCCCUCUACUCGCUGACGGAAAAGGAGAGGAGCAAAUAAGGAGUCAGUCAGUCAUAGCUCAGAAAGUCAACCGCACCGGAAGAGGCAGUAAAUGUUUCUUACUUUCCACGGAAGGGAUGUUUGCAUCUUCAUGAAUCCAGGGACAAAGGAAAGUGAGUGAGCAACGUGGUUUGCCAUUUGUUUUUUGAUCUGUG